GAUGAACGCUGGCGGCGUGCUUAACACAUGCAAGUCGAACGGAAAGGCCCAAGCUUGCUUGGGUACUCGAGUGGCGAACGGGUGAGUAACACGUGGGUGAUCUGCCCUGCACUUCGGGAUAAGCCUGGGAAACUGGGUCUAAUACCGGAUAGGACCACAUUUUGGAUGGUGUGGUGGAAAGUUUUUCGGUGUGGGAUGAGCUCGCGGCCUAUCAGCUUGUUGGUGGGGUAAUGGCCUACCAAGGCGUCGACGGGUAGCCGGCCUGAGAGGGUGUACGGCCACAUUGGGACUGAGAUACGGCCCAGACUCCUACGGGAGGCGGCAGUGGGGAAUAUUGCACAAUGGGCGCAAGCCUGAUGCAGCGACGCCGCGUGGGGGAUGACGGCCUUCGGGUUGUAAACUCCUUUCGCUAGGGACGAAGCGUUAUGUGACGGUACCUGGAGAAGAAGCACCGGCUAACUACGUG
rnacentral:rRNA from 1 species